rnacentral:rRNA from 1 species
GACGAACGCUGGCGGCGUGCUUAACACAUGCUAGUCGAACGGAAAGGCCCCUUUGGGGGUACUCGAGUGGCGCACGGGUGAGUAACACGUGAGUAACCUGCCCUUGACUUCGGGAUAACUUCAGGAAACUGGGGCUAAUACCGGAUAGGAAUCCUUGCUGCAUGGUGGGGGUUGGAAAGCUUCGGCGGUUUUGGAUGGACUCGCGGCUUAUCAGCUUGUUGGUGGGGUAGUGGCUUACCAAGGCUUUGACGGGUAGCCGGCCUGAGAGGGCGACCGGCCACAUUGGGACUGAGAUACGGCCCAGACUCCUACGGGAGGCAGCAGUGGGGAAUAUUGCACAAUGGGCGGAAGCCUGAUGCAGCAACGCCGCGUGCGGGAUGACGGCCUUCGGGUUGUAAACCGCUUUCAGCAGGGGCGAAGCUUGUGGUGACGGUACCUGCAGAAGAAGCACCGGCUAACUACGUG